AACGAACGCUGGCGGCAGGCUUAACACAUGCAAGUCGAGCGCCCCGCAAGGGGGGCGGCAGACGGGUGAGUAACGCGUGGGAAUCUACCCAUCUCUACGGAAUAACGCAUGGAAACGUGUGCUAAUACCGUAUACGUCCUUCGGGAGAAAGAUUUAUCGGAGAUGGAUGAGCCCGCGUUGGAUUAGCUAGUUGGUGGGGUAAAGGCCUACCAAGGCGACGAUCCAUAGCUGGUCUGAGAGGAUGAUCAGCCACACUGGGACUGAGACACGGCCCAGACUCCUACGGGAGGCAGCAGUGGGGAAUAUUGGAAAAUGGGCGCAAGUCUGAUCCAGCCAUGCCGCGUGAGUGAUGAAGGCCCUAGGGUUGUAAAGCUCUUUCACCGGUGAAGAUAAUGACGGUAACCGGAGAAGAAGCCCCGGCUAACUUCGUGCCAGCCGCCGCAGUAAAAC
rnacentral:rRNA from 1 species